rnacentral:pre_miRNA from 1 species
CACAUACUCCCUCCGUCCGGAAAUACUUGUCAUCAAAAUGGAUAGAAGGGGAUGUAUCUAGACAUAUUUUAGUUCUAGAUACAUCUCUUUUUAGUCAUUUUGAUGACAAGUAUUUUCGGACGGAGGGAGUAUGUU